GAGAAGUGACGGGAUGCUCAAAGAAAGAAAAGAAGGAAGAAGAGAGGGAAGAAAGAAUGAAGAAAUAGAGGUACCCAAUGAAUUCUUGUUUGUUACUAUGGUUUUCCAGUCAUAUUAAGCGCUUCACCAUCAAGAUUUUUAAUUUUUGGUUGCAAAAAUCAUAGAAGAACUUCACUAUCAAUAUUUUUAAUGUUUAUUUGUUUCAGACCCUUCACUGUUUUUUUUUUUGUUAGCCAAUGCUUUAUUUGUUUUUUUGUAUUAAAAAGCCUUAAACCUCAAAAUGGAGAUUCAAAAAAUUUUAAAGUAAAGUACACCAACAGUCAAUCAACUUUGAUCUUAAUAACAAAACAAUCACUCAACUUUCAACUCAAUCACUUAACAUUGAAAAAAUAACAAAUCAAUCAUGAACGUUAUUGAAAAGUGAUAAAUCAGUCACUUACUAGCAUUUUUCGUUACUGGUCUAACGGGAAAGGUGAUGUGGCUAGUUAACUAGCUAACGUGGCUAGUUAACUUGCCACGAUAGAAACCCAUUUAAGAACCAAACAAAACAGUAAAAGAAGAAGAAGAAGAAGAAGAGAUAAAUAAGAAAAAGAAGAAGAAGAGAAGAAAUGGAGAUAACGAAACAAGAAAAACCAUUAGAGAUCCAAAAUUUUCCUUCUUGACUAUUUAUUCACCCCCUCCCAAGUUCCGAUCGCUUAACCCGGUGAAGAAGAGAUUCCAAUCGAUUUGUAAAUUUCCUUAACAAUUUUAUAGAUUUCCUUAACGAUGUUUCUUCUGUGAAUCAACCUCAAUUUUAUAGAUUUUCUUAAAGAUUUGUAGAUCUAGAGUUAGGUUCUAUUGGAAAUUAGGAAUUGGGGCUUUUAUAGAUAUCAUCUAUCUGUUUUAGGGUUGAGUCGUUACAAUCAGUUGAAAAAGGGUGGAGAUGAAGAGGCAGGGACCCUUGUUUUCAUGUGGACAAACAUUGGUUAUUACAGGAGAAGAAGGCCUAAACUUCUCUCUUUCGUUUUACUUUCUCUUCUUUCUUGUGCCUUAAUAGUGGCUCCUCAAUUCUUUAGCUUUUCUUUUGCUUUAUCUCAUCUCUAUAAGCUUUUCAUUUUCCUUUCUUGGGUUUCAAUUAAUUGCCUCUGUGUUUUUUUUUAUUUGCUCUCUGUUUAUGCAUCUUGACUUCUCUUACAUGUUUUUUAGUAAAUUCUUUUAGAUGACAAAACGACGACCUUACUGGUGAUAUGGAUGUAAAACGUUCCUCUUUGUUUUUCAAUCUCUAAUGGUUAGUAGUUAAUACUAUUUUUUUCUUUUUUACACCUUGGAAUAAUCGAACGGCCUUUCAUAUCAAGAAAUUGGCUUCUCUUCUCCUCCUCUUCUUCUUCCCAAAAACUUACAAAGAAAAAAAAAACAAUAAACCCAAAAAAUUUCCCAACAAUAAAUUAACUUUCUUUCAACAGUAAACAUAUAAAUAAAUUUUUAAAAACUUUCAUGAUAAUGAUUAAUUUUUCAAUGAAAAAACACUUAGAAAUCCAAAUUUUCACGAAAAUAAGCCCAAACUUUUACCAAAUUUAUUCAAAGAAACAAAUCAACCUAUUGUUUUCAUAAAAUAGAAUUUCUCUUUUUUUGAAACGCAAAAAGUUAUCAGAUAAAAAAAAAAGUCGACAAGCAGAAACUUGAGUAAGACAAAAUUAUCCCUCAAUGAUUACAAUUUUUUUUGUUUUAGUUCUAAUUUUUAAAAUUUAAUAAAUUUAACCCUUAAUAUUUACAAAAUUCGUCAUUUUAGUUCUAAUUCUAAAAGUUAAAAAAAUAUUUAAAAAAUCAUAUUUUGAUAAAAAAAUAAAAUGAUUAAAAAUAAAAAGAAUAAAUAAAUUAUAAGUAUAAAACCAAAACAUAUGUAUUAAAAAAUCAAAUGAUUCAAAAAGUAAUGAAAACAAAAUAAAUUGAUGAGCAUUAUAGACGUAUGAAGUUGGACAUUUCCAUAGGACAUGAAAUAGACAAAAUUAUCUCCAUUGAUUCAGUUCAGCUUGUAUUUUCAAUUGACUUUGAAAUUUUUAUAAUUUGAACUACAUUGACAAAUUUUGUAAAUGUUGAGGGCUAAAUUUAUUGAAUUUUUAGAAUUCAAACUAAAAUGACAAAUCUUGUAAAUAUUGAGGAUAAAUUUGUUGAAUUUUUUAGAUAGAAUGUAUAAACAUUGAAAAGUUAAAUUUGUUAUUAGACCAGUAAAAAAAGGCCCACGUCAGUAAUCUGUUACUCAUCUAACGUCAUCUAAAGGGAAAGUGACUAAAAUAUAUGGUUUUGAAAAUUUGAGUGACUAAAUAAAAAAAUUAAUAGUUGGGUGACCAAAAUAGAACUAAAGGCAUAGUUGGGUGACUAUUUUGUAAUUUAUCAUAUUUUUUAUUCUACUUAUUUAAAAAGGGGUAAACUACAUAGAUAGUCAUCCAGCUAAAAAAAUAUCAUUUUAGGCCAUUUGUAAAUUUUGAGGGAUAAUUUUUAAAAAUUAUGAUUAAAUUGACAUAAUAUGUAAAAGUUUAGUGCUAAAUUUGUUAUUCUACAGUUUUUAAUUGUCACGUCAGCUUACUAUUUAUGAUUUUAAUAAGAGUGACCAAAAUGACUAAACUAUAUAAUAUAAAUUUUUAAAUUACAAUUUUUUAUGCCUAAAAUAAUUUUUUUUAUAAUUAAAUAACUAUCUAUGUAAUUUACCCUUUAAAAACUCACCUAAGAAAAGAGUGUUUUAAUAAUUUUUACCCCAAAAUGAGUGCCAUAAUUUAUAAUACAACAUAUAUACGAAAUAAAGUUAUAAUAAUAAAAUUGAUUUCAUGUCUCUUAUGCUUAUAAUAUAUGUUAAACGCAAUAUUUUUUUCAUUUAAGUUUGUUUUUGAAAUUAUAUUUGUAAUUAUAAUGAAUCCAUUCAAAUAAUUAUAAUAUAAGUAACUAUAACUAGAAUUAAUUAUUAUAAUCUAAAUUUAUACUAAAAUAAAUCUAUAUAAGAUUCAUGGGAUAUAAAUCGGAAUAAAUAUAGAUUAAAAAUCCACAUAUUAUUUACACAAAGUUAAAUUUAAACUUGAGGUGUUAAAAUUCAUAAAAUCUUAACAUUGGGAUUAAAACAAUUUAAAAUUUUUUAUUUUAUUUUUUAGGUAUUUUGAUUUUCAAUUAUUAUUUAUAGAGAACAAGAAAUUCUCAAGAUCACAGUCAUGAUCAUGUGCGAAUACAUAAGACUAAGUAUGACUUUCGUAAGUCGUAACAUACGAGAGGUAAGAGAAUCAAAUCAAAUCAAGGCUUAGCUUGGUGGUGAUUGCUUAUCUUAUCUCUUAACUAUGUGUAACGCCUCAAAAAUUUAGUUUUUGAAUUGUUAUAACUUAUUAAGUGAGUUAAUUUGGUUUUGCGGUUAAGUGUAUUGCUUAAGUGUGUGGGGUUUUAGGUUUGAAUCUUUUUCCUAGAAUUUUUGUUAUUUUUGUUCCAACCCAUAUCUUUAAACUUAUAGCUUAUAUUUAAUUUCUACUCAACUAAUGUUAGAAUGAGUUUGCUGGUUCAGUGGUAAGAUUUUAACUUACCUAAAAGUUUCGUACUCGAAUCUUAUGUGUGUGUGCAAAGUGAAAAUAUUUUUUACUUCUUCUUUCUGUGUCGCCCAAGGGCAUAUAAGUUGUGUGGAUUUUGAAUCAUGAUGAAUAAUUGAUAAGGAUCACUAAUCGGAUUUAGUGGGGAAAUGGGUAGUUUUUUUUUAAAAUUCCUUUUUGAAAAUUAUCCCAAAUUUUCUCCAAAAUCCUCCCAACAACUGUUGUCCACUUUCUCAUUCCCCUUCUCUUCCUUAAGUUCCAAAUUUCUUUUCCUCUCCCACAUACAGUUGUUCUCAUUUCUUGUUUCUUUCUUUUUGUUCUUCCAUUUUUUUCACUUCCGACUAUUAUUGUUUUUUUUUUUGCCUUUUUGAGUUGCCAUCUUUUGGGCGAUCUUUGCUUGGUGUCGGUAGAGUUGAUUGUAAGUAAAUCUCAUGUAAGUAUCAUUAUUUUUGUGGCCAGGUUUUAGUUUUUCCUUAUACUCAAUUUACGUUUUGGUGCACUACGAACUUCAUUGAUUGAUCGUUUUGGUUUUUUGAUAGGAGAAGAACAUGAGGCGUACGACGUUCCUCCGACGAUCUAGGCACUGUUGUAAGUCGUUGUCUUCUCAAGGGCAAGUGAUCAAAGUGUUUUUAGGUCGAAUCUUGGUGUUUGAAUUGAUCAGAAAGUGUUUGUGGCUGAGUUAGGGACUUAAAAUUUGGAUUAUUUCUAUUAUUUCUCACGUUCAUAAUUGUCAAUUUAGGUACUGAAAUCCUCACUGUUGAGAUUGCAAUGAAAAUCGACCAAGUGUGUAACAAAAACCCUAAAAAAUAGCGAACGACACGAUGCCGAAAAGCCCACUAUUGACCUCAC
rnacentral:lncRNA from 1 species